UUAAUUUUCAUUCGAAAAUUUGGUCAUCAGACAAUGUUAUCAAAUGCAAGUUUUUUUGGUUGGUGCUAGCGGCAGGCUGACGCCGUGGUCGUUCCCAACCGAGCUGCUGCCGAAGCGAAAGGGUUUUUUGGUUCACAAAGGGUUUAGAAUGCCUCUCGACGGUCAGAGACCGGAGCCGGCACCUGGUAAUGAUCCUUCCGCAGGUUCACCUACGGAAA
rnacentral:misc_RNA from 1 species